rnacentral:rRNA from 1 species
GAUUCUUUGUAGGCAGCAGACCAGACCUGAGGUCCCUCGAGGCGGCUAGAAACGUCGUCGUUACCGCUGCUUCAUCGAGGAGGGGGAGGGGGAGGAGGAGGAGAUCUGGUCGUUCGACUUCGGGUACCCGCUGCGCCGCCGCCUCGUGGUGGUGCCGCAGCCGCCUCGUGGUGGUGCCGCAGCCGCUGCUCGGCAAGAAAGCCUACCUCUUGGAAGGACCUCACAACGGGUAAAACUCGUGCUUCCUGUUCUCUAGGGAUAUCAUGAAGUACCGACGAGUUUUAAUCUCUUCCGAUGUUAUUACAAAUUUCCGUCGUUUCCCGGCGGGCACAUAAGUACCUAUACUUGUCUCACAUCUGUCGGUUUACGACUAUUACCUCAAGAAGUUGAACGGGCGAGGAACCUACAACACGUGAACACGGGGCUGACCUCUGCAACCUAAACCUACACUCACGGUAAAAUAGUCAAGUUUAUUUGUUUAUGUACCUAGAGUCUACCAUAUAGACUUGGAACUCUUACCACCCUCGCUACUCCACCACCUCCUCCUUCCGAGGGAGGGUAUACGCAGUGGCAAUGGUAGAGUUCUGCCAGGUGUACUCGCCAAAAACCACGAUGUAACGAGUUCAGUUUGACCCCACGACAUAGAACGUCUUACGAACAAAAGAACUCGUGUACCUUUAUGUCGGUUCCCAGUGGCGGUCAUACAAAGGGUAGGUCCUAGUACCGCAGCUCACACGACGGGCCCUCCAGUCGUCUACCCGUGUCGAUGGAACCUCGCGAAAGCAUAUUCCACUAGUGUCAGAGUCCACGGGGAAGUGUCACUCGCUCAUUCGGUUAGGAAACUGACAGGGGCAGACACAUGACAUACGACACUGGUACGGUAGGGGAAAAAAACCGACGAAUGUUCUCCAGUCCACGGCGACUACCACCGACGACUUUCUUGAACUCACUACUUACGAGUUUGUUUCAAACCCCAGCUAGCUCGCGGCUACCACCGUAGUACAUUAUGGCUUAUACAACCACGACAUUCGGUCAAGCGACCCAAGAACUCUCGGACAGUACGUUUCUCUGUUACUACAGGUACACUACCUAUUAGAGCCACACAAAAUAAAAAGACCCCGUUCCUAGUUGUGUGUAGUUCAGAGUUGGUCCGGAGUACGUUCUAACGGACUAGCAGUAUCAAAACGAGGUAACCGGGCAGUUAAAAUGAAAUCAAACACGGCGCAUAAGUGACAAACUUAGACUCGACUAACUAAGAAUAGAGACGUCGACUUCGAUGCAGACCUGUCAAUAUUCUUCUUUGCGACUUUCGACAUGUUAGAUAGAUAGUAGAAAGAACAUCGCCCUAAACAGCUCUUCCUUUGGACGUCUCCCUUUGGGGGCGUGGUCAGGGUCUGGUUCAGGGAAAUGACAUGGCGACUACCAACUUAGAGAUCGAGUCAAUAGGGGUCAACCGAAACCUUACUCUUCUUCUCUCUAAGACACCACAGCGGAGGCUUGUAGAUCAAGAAGGAGGGUCGUUACAGAGUAACGAAACUUCGUUUACCAGAACGACCAGCUCCUAAUCUUCGCUCAAAAGAAAAAGAAAAAGAAAAUCACUCUACAUCUUGACUUCCGAGGCAAUGGCAGUCCGCUCAGAUGUCGGAACAGUGGACCUCACUUUAACGCUACCUUAAACACAAACCGGGACUUGUCAUCCCCUCGGGGACAACUCAAAUAACUACGUGACUAACUUACCUUU